GAUGAACGCUGGCGGCGUGCUUAACACAUGCAAGUCGAACGAUGAUCUCCAGCUUGCUGGGGGGAUUAGUGGCGAACGGGUGAGUAACACGUGAGUAACCUGCCCUUAACUCUGGGAUAAGCCUGGGAAACUGGGUCUAAUACCGGAUAUGACUCCUCAUCGCAUGGUGGGGGGUGGAAAGCUUUUUGUGGUUUUGGAUGGACUCGCGGCCUAUCAGCUUGUUGGUGAGGUAAUGGCUCACCAAGGCGACGACGGGUAGCCGGCCUGAGAGGGUGACCGGCCACACUGGGACUGAGACACGGCCCAGACUCCUACGGGAGGCAGCAGUGGGGAAUAUUGCACAAUGGGCGCAAGCCUGAUGCAGCAACGCCGCGUGA
rnacentral:rRNA from 1 species